GCUGUAGCUCAGUGGCAGAGCACUUGCCUAGCAUGUAUGAGGCACUGGGUUUGAUCCUCAGCACUGCA
rnacentral:tRNA from 1 species